AUAGAGCCGGAAGCGGGAAGGCGUGCGUACAGAACCAGCUGCUAGAUCCGUGCACGCGGGAAAAGGCGAAGCGACCUGGGUUUGCAUUGGCAGGCAGAAUGCAGCGGUAGGAGCGAGGGACGAACGCUCGGGGACUUCUGUGAGGGGAAAAUUCUCUUCUGAGCCCAUCUUUCCUCAGCUUCCGAAUGGCUCUUACCCCUUCUCUGCAGAACGGCCGUCAUCUUCUCCCUCUUUCUGCAGACCCUAGAUGGAGUGAGCCUAAAUCUUCCCUUCUGCACGUCCCUCUUUCCUAUCUGUCAUCUUAAGGGUUCUGGUCGAUCUAGAUUUUUUAAAUCUCAUACUUUAGUCUCAGAGCGUUUAUUUAUAUUUAAGCUACAGGUUUGCACAUGUUCGUAGUUAAGAGCACUGGCCCUUGGAAAUCACAGUCUCGUAUUCUCAUUGUCAGUUGUAUUGCCUGUGUUGUCUGUAGUAGGUAAGUGGCAGCCACUCUGAGCCUUUGAAAAUGUUUAACCUGCGCUCCUUCCCCGGUCCCACCCCCGCCACCUGGCACAGAUAAGUAGACAGCUACUUUUUCAAAGCGACAAUGUGAUAGGAAAAACUGUGUUAGCCGAGGAAGGACUGGUUCUGUGGAAACUGAGCCUGAAAGAAUCGACUUUGCUGCUAGAUCUUGCCGGGUGUAAAUUCUUCUGCAAGAUGGUAGCGAAGCUUUCAGACAGAAGGAAGUGCAUGGAAAGGCACAAAGUGUAACGAGCUCUUGUUAUUGAGUGAUACAGAUUUUGCAAGUUUCCAGUGUAUUGAAGCCAGAGGAAGGGAUGAGAGCAAGAAGAGGAGGAAAAAAACAGUCAUCAAAUAGAUUUAUAAAGCGAUCGUAAGAGAAGACAGUAACAGGAUGACAGUUAUACUGAAUAUUUGCUGUGUGUGUGUGUGUGUGUGAGAGAGAGAGAGAGAGAGAGAGAAAGAGAGAGAGAGAGAGAGAGAAAGAGUGAGAUAGUAAGAGAGAGAAAGAGAAAGUAGGUGUGUGGUGGGGGAGAGGGAAACAGAAACGGAAACGAACUCCUUAAAGUAGAUACUGGUAUCAUUUUCUCAUCUAGCAUCCAGAAAACAGGUGCCAGUUUAACCAACAUGUUGCAGGUUGGAUAACUGUUAAUUGAAUGGACCUGGAUCCGAACAAUACAGCCUGACCAUAGAACCCACCCUUUUGCAACCCAGGCUAGCCCCUAACUCACAAUUGUGCUGCCUGAGCCUCCCCUAGGCCUGCAAUACCUGACUGAGCCCCAGUGCUUUUUACCACUAGCCAAGACUAACAUGCCACAGGUGGGGUUAUUUCUGGGAAGGGGAGAUGUAAUUAUUGUCAAAAUGCAUCAACUUGACUGAACCCUCAAAAGGAAGAUUUGAUUUGUCUGUUCAGGGGCUGUUGCUUAGGAAGCUUUUUUAGUUGAAUGUUGGGAGCUGAACUAUGUUACUUGUUUUAAUGUCUCAGCAUUUGUUCACUUGAUAGCUCUCUUCAUCUAGUUGGAUAGCUUUGGUUCUGCCACCCACCACUAUUUGGUUGGUUGGUUUGUUUGUUUUUGAGUCAGGGUUUCUCUGUUGCCCUGGCUGUCCUGGAACUCUUUCUGUAGACCAGGCUAGCCUUGAAUUCAACAGAUCUACCUGCCUCUCUCUCUUUCCUUCCCUCCCCCUCCUCCCUCCCUCCCCUACUCCCUCUCCCUCCCUCCCUUCCUCUCCCUCUCCUCUCCCUCACUGCCCCCCCCUUUCUGCCUCUUUCUGCCAUUCAGUUCAUUCAGAUCUUGCAUUUACUUAAUUCAUAACAAUUUAAUCUAAAUGAUAAACUGUUGUAAUUUGGGGGGGGGUAUGAGCUUCUUUAGCUCAGUGUGGCAUUGAUCUCACUGAGGGUGACCUUAAACUUCUAUCCUCCUUUCUUUACCUUCCCACUGGUAUUGGGAUUACACUAAUGUGCUGUGGCACUCUCUGUUCUCUUCUUUUGUUUUCUACUGUAUUUUGAUUUCCUUUGAGGCAUAAGUUGCAACUUGGAACUAUGGAUUAAUACUUGUAUCAUCACCAUUGUCACCAGAUGUCUCCAAGAGGGUAGGCUGUGUAUCAGUAUGGUUCAGUUAUUUUCUAGCUGUCCAUAGCAUGCCUAACCUGAUACACUGUACAUGUGAAACAAAUAUUGUUUGCUGUUAUCAAUGAAUGUUUUCCUUUUUUUUUUUUUUUGUUUUUUGAGACAGGGUUUCUCUGUGAAGCCCUGGCUGCCUUGGAACUCACUUUGUAGACCAAGCUGGCCUCGAACUCAGAAAUCCGCCUGCCUCUGCCUCCCAAGUGCUGGGAUUAAAGGCGUGUGCCACCACGCCCAGCGAAUGUUUUCCUUUUAUAGAGAUAAUACUGAACUGUUUCAUUUUAUUCAAAAUAAUAGAUUACCAUGCUAGGCAAAGCACACAUUUGAGAAUUAGAGCCUAAUUUUGAUAUACUUUAAGAAAAUGUCCUAUAGAAAUGUUAAGAAAAAUUAUUGUGCCUUUGAUCACAGUGUGCCUCUGCAUGUAUAGUUAGGUUUAAAUGUGUAGUUAAUGUCUAAAAUAGUUACGUACAGGUCUAAAGUACAGCUUACUGGCACAUCACAUGUUUAGUAUGCUUAAAGCACCAAGCCAGUCCUU
rnacentral:lncRNA from 1 species